GGUUAUGUUGAGACAACAUAGGCGGAGUCAACGAUAAGAUACAUCAGAGAUUUUUUUUUGAAAAUAGUUCUAGUCAGCAUGAUCAAGAAGAGCUUGCGUGAGUUGUCGUACUCAGACCCGGACUCGAUUUGCUUUUGUAGCGCCUCCUUCUUUGGACUGUACUCGCUUCCUGCGGUUCGGCAAAUAUAUAUAUUUCGAGACUAAGUCGAGUGAAUACGAGGGAAAUAAAAAUAUACGUCGGUGAAGUGUGGUCAUCCUACAGUCAAACAUUAUUAUUUCUUUUAUUACCUAGUAUUCUUUUUACUAAGCUUGCAUUAGUAGGUGGAUUUAGAAUAGAUAAUUAUUAGAUGUGCACCUGAUAAUUACUAGACCACAAUUCUACACGUGCCCUCUCCCUUUCUCAAUUUCCAAGUCUCUCUCUCCUGUACUAGUCCUCCACCGAACACAACACACACCAGUACUAGUCCACCAAGAACAGAACACACGUACAUGUCUUCUCUCCCUCCUAUUCCUCUGCUCCUAAACUAGCCAGACCGGCCAUGCCGCCGGUGACGGGGAAACAUGCUGCUCCGCCGCUGCCGGACCUUCCACCCUCUCUCUCUCCCCUGAUCCAAAUCCCUAUUUUUUUUUUCAGGAUUCAGCCCCAAACUCUCUAAUCCCCUCUCAGAUUUGACUUGCAGGUGAGGCUCUUAUCGGGCUUUGAUUUCGCUGCUCCAGAUCGAAGCUCCCGGCGUUGGCGGCCGCGGUGCGCUGGGUGUUGCAGAUCAGAGUUCAAAGGCAUAGCCAUGGAGCAUAUCGAGCAUAAGUGCAGGUUAGUGAUGCGCUUGUUCCUCUCCCUAUUUUUUUAUGCUCAAGUACUCAGAUUUAGUAAAUUAAUCUAGUCUCAUGUGCAUGUGUGUGUACUGAACCAAUUUCUCUUGUGCAAGAUGUGGGUGUACUAAUGUUGUACAAUAUCUUGUCUCCUUUUAUUAUACUUGCUUAAGGCACUAUCCAUGCUUUCUUGUACUGUUGAUUUUAAGAUCUGUGAUAGUUGAUACUACUGGAAUGAUUUAGCUUUUGUGUGCAUCUGUGAAGAACUAGUGAGGAAUAUUGUGGGUGCAUCUGGGUUGGGCUUCUUUGUGAGUGUGAGUGCUAAAGGAAUGACAGAAGAACUCACCUUUCUUCUUUUGCCUUCUCUGCUGUUUCUUCUAGUGCUGCUCCUACUUCCAGAUCCCAGUCUAGUUGGCUAACUUCUUGUUCUAGCCUUCCUCCUUUGAUCUACUAUGAUUUCUCAGGUCACCAUCUCUACUUAUUGUUCUUGGAUCUUUGUUGGUUGCAGAUAGAAAGACUAAGACAGUGGGAGGAAGACAAGUUGCUGGUUUGGCUUUUUGGGGAAGAAUGGAGACGACGUGUGAAGUCUUGGCAAUGGCUUGCUCUGCUCUCUCUCCUUUUAAUAUCAGAAAACCCUCUUCCUUGGCUGGUAUGGCUGCCCAUCCCUUCUUUACCGUGUUGCCUUUGUGGAGCCUUUCUAUUGGCUAGGAGUUGCAGCCCAUGCCUAGACCAACUGUUGGUCAAUUGACUACUGAUAUACAUAUUAUGCACGUGAUGGUGGUGGUCAAAUGUGUAUCUCAAAUGUGUCUUGCUGUCCUGGUUGACUCAGAGAUAUUUUUUUGUUGGUCUAAGUUUGAUGUGGCAUUGUUGUAUAGCUUAGCAUAGUCUGGUCUCCCUAUAUUUUUUUUGUUUCCAAAGAUUUGUAAUAUAACUGUACAACUAUACUGUUUGAGAUGUGUGAAUAUAAAUAUAUAUUUGAGUGGUUAUGCUUGUUGAAGAAAUCUGAAAUGUAUUUUUUUAGGAUGCUUAAUAAAUUGUACUUAAUUAUCUAAUUAAGGGUGGAAUUACUAUGUGACAAAAAUACGAGUCGUUACUGAUGGAUAAGUCUGUGUACUAGGGUCCUUGUGGGGCUGCAGCACAUGGUCCUUGUGGCAGUUAGGAGGAUAAAGUCCUGGACCAUCAAGGACUGGCUGUUAGGAUAGAGUUCUGUUCUUGACCAUCAAGGACUGUCAGUU
rnacentral:lncRNA from 1 species